rnacentral:rRNA from 1 species
AACGAACGCUGGCGGCAGGCCUAACACAUGCAAGUCGAGCGCCCCGCCAGUGGAGCGGCAGACGGGUGAGUAACGCGUGGGAACGUACCUUUUGGUUCGGAACAACCCCGGGAUACUGGAGCUAAUACCGGAUAAGCCCUAACGGGGUAAGAUUUAUCGCCGAAAGAUCGGCGCGCGUCUGAUUCGCUAGUUGGUGAGGUAACGGCUCACCAAGGCGAGGAUCAGUAGCUGGUCUGAGAGGAAGAGCAGACACACUGGCGCUGGGACACAGCCGAGACUCCUACGGGAGGCGGGAGUGCGGAAUAUAGGACAAUGGGCGCAAGGCUGAUGCAGCCAUGCCGCGUGAGUGAUGAAGUCGUUAGGGUAGAAAAGCUCUUUUGUCCGGGAAGAUAAUGACUGUACCGGAAGAAUAAGCCCCGGCUAACUUCGUG